GACGAACGCUGGCGGCGUGCUUAACACAUGCCAGUCGAACGGAAAGGCCCUGCUUGCAGGGUACUCGAGUGGCGAACGGGUGAGUAACACGUGGGUGAUCUGCCCUGCACUUCGGGAUAAGCCUGGGAAACUGGGUCUAAUACCGGAUAUGAGCCAUUUUUAGUGUGAUGGUUGGAAAGUUUUUUCGGUGUAGGAUGAGCUCGCGGCCUAUCAGCUUGUUGGUGGGGUAAUGGCCUACCAAGGCGGCGACGGGUAGCCGGCCUGAGAGGGUGGACGGCCACAUUGGGACUGAGAUACGGCCCAGACUCCUACGGGAGGCAGCAGUGGGGAAUAUUGCACAAUGGGCGCAAGCCUGAUGCAGCGACGCCGCGUGGGGGAUGACGGCCUUCGGGUUGUAAACUCCUUUCGCUAGGGACGAAGCUUUUUGUGACGGUACCUAGAUAAGAAGCACCGGCUAACUACGUG
rnacentral:rRNA from 1 species